rnacentral:rRNA from 1 species
GAUGAACGCUGGCGGCGUGCCUAAUACAUGCAAGUCGAGCGAACAGACGAGGAGCUUGCUCCUCUGAUGUUAGCGGCGGACGGGUGAGUAACACGUGGAUAACCUACCUAUAAGACUGGGAUAACUUCGGGAAACCGGAGCUAAUACCGGAUAACAUGUUGAACCGCAUGGUUCAACAGUGAAAGACGGUCUUGCUGUCACUUAUAGAUGGAUCCGCGCCGCAUUAGCUAGUUGGUAAGGUAACGGCUUACCAAGGCAACGAUGCGUAGCCGACCUGAGAGGGUGAUCGGCCACACUGGAACUGAGACACGGUCCAGACUCCUACGGGAGGCAGCAGUAGGGAAACUUCCGCAAUGGGCGAAAGCCUGACGGAGCAACGCCGCGUGAGUGAAGAAGGUCUUCGGAUCGUAAAACUCUGUUAUUAGGGAAGAACAAAUGUGUAAGUAACUAUGCACGUCUUGACGGUACCUAAUCAGAAAGCCACGGCUAACUACGUG